rnacentral:rRNA from 1 species
AAAUUGAAGAGUUUGAUCAUGGCUCAGAUUGAACGCUGGCGGCAGGCCUAACACAUGCAAGUCGAACGGUAACAGGAAGCAGCUUGCUGCUUCGCUGACGAGUGGCGGACGGGUGAGUAAUGUCUGGGAAACUGCCUGAUGGAGGGGGAUAACUACUGGAAACGGUAGCUAAUACCGCAUAAUGUCGCAAGACCAAAGAGGGGGACCUUCGGGCCUCUUGCCAUCGGAUGUGCCCAGAUGGGAUUAGCUUGUUGGUGGGGUAACGGCUCACCAAGGCGACGAUCCCUAGCUGGUCUGAGAGGAUGACCAGCCACACUGGAACUGAGACACGGUCCAGACUCCUACGGGAGGCAGCAGUGGGGAAUAUUGCACAAUGGGCGCAAGCCUGAUGCAGCCAUGCCGCGUGUAUGAAGAAGGCCUUCGGGUUGUAAAGUACUUUCAGCGGGGAGGAAGGGAGUAAAGUUAAUACCUUUGCUCAUUGACGUUACCCGCAGAAGAAGCACCGGCUAACUCCGUGCCAGCAGCCGCGGUAAUACGGAGGGUGCAAGCGUUAAUCGGAAUUACUGGGCGUAAAGCGCACGCAGGCGGUUUGUUAAGUCAGAUGUGAAAUCCCCGGGCUCAACCUGGGAACUGCAUCUGAUACUGGCAAGCUUGAGUCUCGUAGAGGGGGGUAGAAUUCCAGGUGUAGCGGUGAAAUGCGUAGAGAUCUGGAGGAAUACCGGUGGCGAAGGCGGCCCCCUGGACGAAGACUGACGCUCAGGUGCGAAAGCGUGGGGAGCAAACAGGAUUAGAUACCCUGGUAGUCCACGCCGUAAACGAUGUCGACUUGGAGGUUGUGCCCUUGAGGCGUGGCUUCCGGAGCUAACGCGUUAAGUCGACCGCCUGGGGAGUACGACCGCAAGGUUAAAACUCAAAUGAAUUGACGGGGGCCCGCACAAGCGGUGGAGCAUGUGGUUUAAUUCGAUGCAACGCGAAGAACCUUACCUGGUCUUGACAUCCACGGAAGUUUUCAGAGAUGAGAAUGUGCCUUCGGGAACCGUGAGACAGGUGCUGCAUGGCUGUCGUCAGCUCGUGUUGUGAAAUGUUGGGUUAAGUCCCGCAACGAGCGCAACCCUUAUCCUUUGUUGCCAGCGGUCCGGCCGGGAACUCAAAGGAGACUGCCAGUGAUAAACUGGAGGAAGGUGGGGAUGACGUCAAGUCAUCAUGGCCCUUACGACCAGGGCUACACACGUGCUACAAUGGCGCAUACAAAGAGAAGCGACCUCGCGAGAGCAAGCGGACCUCAUAAAGUGCGUCGUAGUCCGGAUUGGAGUCUGCAACUCGACUCCAUGAAGUCGGAAUCGCUAGUAAUCGUGGAUCAGAAUGCCACGGUGAAUACGUUCCCGGGCCUUGUACACACCGCCCGUCACACCAUGGGAGUGGGUUGCAAAAGAAGUAGGUAGCUUAACCUUCGGGAGGGCGCUUACCACUUUGUGAUUCAUGACUGGGGUGAAGUCGUAACAAGGUAACCGUAGGGGAACCUGCGGUUGGAUCACCUCCUUAUCUUAAAGAAGC